AUACUUUAGACACAUACCAUCCUCUUUUGUUCUUCCACGUCGACCUUGUUUCCAAGCAAGAUAAAGGGAAAUGUCUCUGGAUUGCUCGGUGAUGCUUGAAUCAAAAAUUCGUCGCGCCAGCUAUCUAAAGUUUCAAAGGACUUGCUGUUAUUAACAUCAUAAACGAGGACACAGCAAUCUGCGCCUCGAUAAAACGCAACCCCCAAACUCUGGAACCGCUCUUGACCAGCGGUAUCCCAGAGCUGUAAUGUAACGACUUUGUCAUCGACCAGAACUUCUUUGGUAAGAAAAUCCGCUCCUAUGGUUGCUUUAUAAUCUUUGCUAAACUUUCGAUUCACAUACUAAACAGAUUUGGUCAAUAACUUUCAUUUCAAACAUGACAGUCAUAACAUUAACAUAUUUCAAAAAACAUACCUGAUUCAUGAUAGAAGUCUUUCCAACACCGCUUUCUCCUAAAAUAAUAACUUUCAGCAAAUGCUUCUUUUUGCCGGCCAUAUUUACAGCGUAAAAACGAGAUAAUUCGAUAUAUUAUUGAAGGCCAAUAGUCCUAAUUGAACCAAGAAUCCUUUUGAGAUCUGCAAAAAAAAAUAAAUUUAUAAAUUACUUCUUUCUUUGAAACGGAAAUAGUUGCGCACGUUCCCUUGGUGUUUGCUCUGCGAGUAUCAAGGCUUGUGAGUCUACCCUUCAUAUGCCUUUCACGUCAUGAGUAUAACGAACUUCAUCAUGCUUGGGUAUUUUGAUCAAAAGAAAUAUGGUAAACU